CUUGCCUUGUGUCAGCGAUCUGGGGGCUCCCAGUUCUGGCAAUGCAUCAUUCAGCUCCUCCUUGUCCUCCGGAUCGGAACCUCGAUCGAGAUUGGUUUUGGCACAACCACGCUGUUCUGGUUCGAUCGCUGGACUGGUGACACGCCCCUGGCGGCCCGCUUCCCGGACCUGUUCUGCCUCGCGGUUUCCCCUCAGAUCUUCGUGGCGACCGCCCUUAUUGACUUAGGGCGGCUUGCGUUCCGGAGGCCUUUUGGUCUUGUUGAGAAUGAGGACUGGCAGGAGUUGCUUGACUGUGUUGCUCUCCAUGAGCCGGAGCUCACGUCUGACAAUGACCGCGCCAGGUGGCGCCUCGAGCCGUCCGGUUAAUUCUCCACCAAAUCUCUCUAUCUGGCCAUCGCCCCCUCGCUCGGCCAUGAGGCUCCUUCCUCCAUUUGGGAGAUUUGCCUCCCCUUGAAAAUUAGGAUCUUCCUAUGGCAAUGGAUUCGUGGCCACCUCCCUUCUGGCAUUGAGGUUCCGAAGUGCAAUGGCCCUGGUGAUGGGCGUUGCCCGCUCUAUGGGCAUGAAGAAGAUUCGAACCAUAUCUUCUUCACCUGCGUGUCUGCGCAGUUCCUAUGGAGCUGUUUCUGCGAGAUUGUGGGUGGAAGUUGGGACCAUACUAACUUCCCCGCUCUCUUUGCCAAACUCCAGGAGACCCCCCCCACCCGCGUUGCGCCACAUUAG
rnacentral:rRNA from 1 species